UGUUGGUGCCCAAAAUAGGUAUUAUUAGGCACCAAAUCCCUACAAUAAGUGAUAUGAUGAAUUUAUUGAGUGUUGCAAUCCUCUUUUGUAAAAUCAGUCAUGCACCCAACGUCUUCAUGAUUCAUGUACAUAGGGACUCAUUAGGUAGUUUGUUCUUAUUUUUGGUUUUAAUACAAACUUAGGUGCUCAUAUGGGACACCUUAGGUUUGUCAUAUUUUUUUGUAGGAAUAAUCAACAUAAAAAUACAGAAAAAGGUACGCUUUAUUGCAUUACAUUCCUUAAUUUUUUAAAU
rnacentral:lncRNA from 1 species